GUCAGUGUCUCUUAUCCCUCAUCUGUUGCGCUUCAGGCUUAAAGAAGCUAAAGCAAAACAAUGUCUGACAAACCUGAUGUCAGUGAGGUUUCUCAUUUCGACAAGAACAAGCUGAAGAAGACCGUAACUCAUGAGAAAAACACUCUUCCCACCAAAGAGACCAUUGAGCAGGAGAAGAAAUGUGAGACUUAAAUUAGCCAUGUUGGAUCUUCACCAAGGACUGAAUUGCAGAUCAUGUGACUUUUUAAAAAGAUGGCUCUUCCUACCACCAGUUACUAUGGCCAUGCAGGCUGAAGUUGGAAAUUGACCCAUGUGUUAUCAGAUGAUAUCGACGAUUCUGAUAAAAAAAAAAUGCUGUAAAAUCAUGGAUAUUUAACUUUGUAUAACUGUCUGAUCUGCUCUCAUUUUGACCUUUGGUGAAAUAAACCUUUGAAAUGAA